GAGUUUGAUCCUGGCUCAUGACGAACGCUGGCGGCGCGCCUAACACAUGCAAGUCGAACGAGCGAGAGAGAGCUUGCUUUCUCGAGCGAGUGGCGAACGGGUGAGUAACGCGUGAGGAACCUGCCUCAAAGAGGGGGACAACAGUUGGAAACGACUGCUAAUACCGCAUAAGCCCACAGCUCGGCAUCGAGCAGAGGGAAAAGGAGCAAUCCGCUUUGAGAUGGCCUCGCGUCCGAUUAGCUAGUUGGUGAGGUAACGGCCCACCAAGGCGACGAUCGGUAGCCGGACUGAGAGGUUGAACGGCCACAUUGGGACUGAGACACGGCCCAGACUCCUACGGGAGGCAGCAGUGGGGAAUAUUGCACAAUGGGGGAAACCCUGAUGCAGCGACGCCGCGUGGAGGAAGAAGGUCUUCGGAUUGUAAACUCCUGUUGUUGAGGAAGAUAAUGACGGUACUCAACAAGGAAGUGACGGCUAACUACGUGCCAGCAGCCGCGGUAAAACGUAGGUCACAAGCGUUGUCCGGAAUUACUGGGUGUAAAGGGAGCGCAGGCGGGAAGGCAAGUUGGAAGUGAAAUCCAUGGGCUCAACCCAUGAACUGCUUUCAAAACUGUUUUUCUUGAGUAGUGCAGAGGUAGGCGGAAUUCCCGGUGUAGCGGUGGAAUGCGUAGAUAUCGGGAGGAACACCAGUGGCGAAGGCGGCCUACUGGGCACCAACUGACGCUGAGGCUCGAAAGUGUGGGUAGCAAACAGGAUUAGAUACCCUGGUAGUCCACACUGUAAACGAUGAUUACUAGGUGUUGGAGGAUUGACCCCUUCAGUGCCGCAGUUAACACAAUAAGUAAUCCACCUGGGGAGUACGACCGCAAGGUUGAAACUCAAAGGAAUUGACGGGGGCCCGCACAAGCAGUGGAGUAUGUGGUUUAAUUCGACGCAACGCGAAGAACCUUACCAAGUCUUGACAUCCUGCGACGCACAUAGAAAUAUGUGUUUCCUUCGGGACGCAGAGACAGGUGGUGCAUGGUUGUCGUCAGCUCGUGUCGUGAGAUGUUGGGUUAAGUCCCGCAACGAGCGCAACCCUUAUGGUCAGUUACUACGCAAGAGGACUCUGGCCAGACUGCCGUUGACAAAACGGAGGAAGGUGGGGAUGACGUCAGAUCAUCAUGCCCUUUAUGACUUGGGCUACACACGUACUACAAUGGCGUUAAACAAAGAGAAGCAAGACCGCGAGGUGGAGCAAAACUCAGAAACAACGUCCCAGUUCAGACUGCAGGCUGCAACUCGCCUGCACGAAGUCGGAAUUGCUAGUAAUCGCAGAUCAGCAUGCUGCGGUGAAUACGUUCCCGGGCCUUGUACACACCGCCCGUC
rnacentral:rRNA from 1 species